UUAAAUUAAUUAAUUUAAUUAAUGCGAUCUUGAAGAUGCCGUCGACUGUUUUAAUUAAUGUUCCAUUAUGAAACUUAGGAACUUCUGUCCUCGGUUAUUCUGCAAGUAAAACAUAUACUGGAUAUCUUGAAGAAGAAUCGACUGUGUCAAUCAUGUCAGGGAACGGAAGAGGAUAAAAAAUCAUCCAUUGGUCAGACGUGUCGCAUGUUUUCGGUACAGGUCUCACAAUUUCUUAGAAGAAUUCAUAAUUGUACAUGACUGGUUCCAAUACUCUCGGUUCGUUUAACACAGAUUUAAAAGAAGCGUGAAACGAACGAAAUACUUUAGUUCUUAACUUCCUGACAUCGUACGAUAAAGCAGAAAUGGCGAAAUGCAACGACUAUUUGGCAUGGUACCAAAGUGGACGCAUCCAGCGGGCUUUUUUGUGACGUCAAGGAUGGACUUUGUUGUUUCAUACCCUCGGAAAGGGCCGGUGGAACGUUAAACUCCUUUUAAAAGUAGCUCAUUUCUUAAAUACGUUUUUCAUGGCGAAUCGACUUUUUGGAAAAGCAAAUUGUGUUCUUUUAUCUUCUGGUUGAAAGCUAUUCCAUGCUUGUCCAGUAUGUCCGGAAUUACCCUUGCACAAGCGACUAUGCUGUAGAUAGCCAGAAAAGUAUGAAAAGAGAAUUUAUGAUAUUCGUGGUGCCCUUACACUAAUUAUUCUUUCGUGUCAGUGCCUCUUAAGUCGAGAGCCAUAUAAAUUGAAAAAUAUUCGUUCUCAUGAAUUUAAAUCUAAUUUAAAAGUGAAAAGCAGAUUAUAUAAAAUAAUCAUUUGAUUACACCUUCUGGUCUUAAAUUAGAAGGAAUUUCCCGUUUCUUAUCGUAAUAAUAAUUAUUCAAUCACACAUCAAUAAUUUAAUUUUUACUGAAUAAUAUUUCCUAGC